CAGAGUUCAUGCCCUUCGGGGUAGAUCUCCCACCCUGUGUAUCUAUACUCUUGUUGCUUUGGCAGGCCGUCCAGGCCUCGCUUGGCUGUGGGCUCCGGCUCACACGCGCCUGCCAGAGGAUAUUACAAUUCUGUGUUUAGUAUCGUCUGAGUAAAUUAUAAUAAGUUA
rnacentral:misc_RNA from 1 species